GUAACUGCGAGUGAAGCGGGAAAAGCUCAAAUUUAAAAUCUGGCAGUCUUUGGCUGUCCGAGUUGUAGUCUGGAGAAGUGUUUUCCGCGCUGGACCGUGUACAAGUCUCUUGGAAUAGAGCGUCAUAGAGGGUGAGAAUCCCGUCUUUGACACGGACCGCCAGUGCUUUGUGAUGCGCUCUCAAAGAGUCGAGUUGUUUGGGAAUGCAGCUCAAAAUGGGUGGUAAAUUCCAUCUAAAGCUAAAUAUUGGCGAGAGACCGAUAGCGAACAAGUACCGUGAGGGAAAGAUGAAAAGCACUUUGGAAAGAGAGUUAAACAGUACGUGAAAUUGCUGAAAGGGAAACGCUUGAAGUCAGUCGCGUUGUCCAGAACUCAGCCUGGCUUUUGCUUGGUGCAUUUUCUGGAUAACGGGCCAGCAUCAAUUUUGAUCGUUGGAUAAAGGUCUUGGGAAUGUGGCACCUUCGGGUGUGUUAUAGCCCUUGAUUGCAUACAACGAUUGGGAUUGAGGAUCUCAGCAUGCCUUUAUGGUCGGGGUUCGCCCACGUUCAUGCUUAGGAUGCUGGCGUAAUGGCUUUAAUCGACCCGUCUUGAAACACGGACCAAGGAGUCUAACAUGCCUGCGAGUAUUUGGGUGGUAAACCCGAGUGCGCAAUGAAAGUGAAAGUUGGGAUCUCUGUCGCGGAGAGCACCGACGCCCGGACCAGACCUUUUGUGACGGUUCCGCGGUGGAGCAUGUAUGUUGGGACCCGAAAGAUGGUGAACUAUGCCUGAAUAGGGUGAAGCCAGAGGAAACUCUGGUGGAGGCUCGUAGCGAUUCUGACGUGCAAAUCGAUCGUCAAAUUUGGGUAUAGGGGCGAAAGACUAAUCGAACCAUCUAGUAGCUGGUUCCUGCCGAAGUUUCCCUCAGGAUAGCAGAAACUCAUGUCAGAUUUAUGUGGUAAAGCGAAUGAUUAGAGGCCUUGGGGU
rnacentral:rRNA from 1 species